ACGAUUAUUCCUAUUUUUAAUGGUUUGAAAAAGAGUGGAGGCAGGGCAAGGGAGGGUGGACUCGCGAGUCGACUCCCCCGCGCUAUUCACCUUCACUUCCACAAACUGUGUUUAUUCCCUCUCAAUUCUCUGAUUCUUCACCUUUUCCAACUCUGCAACCGUUUAGGGCAAACAACAUGAAACCCGACUUGUACGAAAUCUCAGACGACGAAUGGGAGAAUCACUCCUUCAAACCCUCUCGAGUUCUCAAGCGUCCUCGCGCUUCCUCUCCCUCUCCCCCUCCGCCACCUAUCGAAUCCUUCGCUUAUACCCCUAAUGUCAGCGUCCACGAUUCCAGCGACGAAGAUUGCGUCGAAAUUGCGCCUCAAAACCUCCAUGAUCUCGAAGAUGCUGACGUCGACAACGACGGUGGCGGUUACGCGGCGGCGAGCCGCGGACGGCGGUUUAUAAUCGAUGACGAUGAUGAUGAUGGCGCCGGCGAGAGGGAUAGAGACAUUGAGGAGUUGUACGAGGUAGAGUCGAGCGAGGAGGAAGACGGAGACGAAGGGGAUGUGGUUGGUAGGGCUUUGCACAAGUGUUCGAGAAUCUCUGCGGAGUUGAAGGGAGAACUCUUCGGCUCUACGGGGACCGCUUGCGAGAGGUAUUCCGAGGUCGAAUCUUCUUCAGUGAGAAUCGUGACACAGGAGGAUGUUGAUGUUGCGUGCGGGUCUGAGGAUUCGGAUUUUCAGCCUCUGCUCAAGCCGUAUCAGUUGGUUGGUGUCAAUUUUUUGCUUCUGUUGUAUCGGAAGGGUAUUGGAGGAGCCAUAUUGGCGGAUGAAAUGGGCCUUGGCAAAACAGUUCAGGCCAUCACAUAUUUAACUUUGUUGAAACACUUGCACCAAGAUUCUGGUCCACAUCUUAUAGUAUGCCCUGCAUCUGUUUUGGAAAACUGGGAAAGGGAACUAAAAAAAUGGUGCCCGUCCUUUUCCGUCCUUCAAUAUCAUGGGGUUAGACGUGCGGCAUACUGCAAGGAGUUGAGUUCACUGUCCAAGGCGGGAAUUCCUCCUCCAUUUAACGUUCUUCUUGUGUGUUAUUCACUUUUUGAACGGCACAGUGCACAGCAGAAAGAUGAUCGUAAAAUCCUGAAGCGAUGGAGGUGGAGCUGUGUGCUAAUGGACGAGGCACAUGCUUUGAAGGACAAAAAUAGCUUUAGGUGGAAAAAUCUAAUGUCUGUUGCACGAAAUGCAAACCAACGCUUGAUGCUGACAGGGACACCACUUCAGAAUGAUCUACAUGAAUUAUGGUCGUUGUUGGAGUUUAUGAUGCCUGAUAUUUUUGCUUCUGAAGAUGUUGACUUAAAAAAGUUACUAAAUGCAGAAGAUAGAGAUUUAAUUAGUCGUAUGAAGUCCAUCUUAGGGCCAUUUAUUUUGCGCCGUCUGAAAUCUGAUGUAAUGCAACAACUCGUUCCAAAAAUACAGCAGGUUGAAUAUGUUGUAAUGGAAAAGCAGCAGGAAAAUGCUUACAAGGAAGCCAUUGAAGAGUAUCGUGCUGUUUCACAAGCUCGGCUGGCAAAAUGUUCUGGGCUUAAUUCAAAAAAUGUGCUUGAAGUUCUUCCUCGACGGCAGAUAAAUAAUUAUUUUGUUCAGUUCCGCAAGAUUGCGAACCAUCCCUUGUUGAUAAGGCGAAUCUACAAUGAUGAGGAUGUUGUUCGCUUUGCUAAAAAGCUACAUCCAAUAGGUGCUUUUGGUUUUGAAUGUACAUUGGACAGAGUUAUGGAGGAGCUUAAAAGUUACAAUGACUUCUCUAUUCACCGGCUUUUACUUCAUUAUGGUGUCAAUGAUAGAAAGGGGAUCCUUCAAGAUAAGCAUGUUAUGCUUUCUGCAAAAUGUCGGGCCUUAGCAGAACUUCUUCCUUCGCUAAAGAAGGGUGGACAUCGUGUCUUGAUCUUUAGUCAAUGGACAUCAAUGCUUGACAUAUUGGAGUGGUCUUUGGAUGUCAUUGGAUUGACCUACAAACGGCUUGAUGGAAGGUACUGUUGUUUUUUGACAUUAAAACUUUUCAACUGAUGUUUAGUUUAGGGCAUGCUUUAUAUUGCAUUACUUGGUUCAGCUCUUCAAUAAGGAGAACGUUAAGUCACCUAUGAGAAUGAUAUGACAAGUAAUCCAGUGUUUGUGUGUGCUGUGUUGACAACUUGACGUAAUCAGACAUAGUAAAGUUGCUAAAUUUUGUUUGAGGGUGUUGGAAAUUCUCUUUCUCUCUCUCUCUCUCUCUCCGUGUGAGGGUGGGGGGUAAAAGAAUAAAAUUAUUAGAGGCAUUGAGGAAAUACUGCAUAGAAGUAACAAAAGAACAAACAGGGAACAGCAAAAAGAAACUAUACCAAUGCUAUGAUGAUUUCUCCUCAGCAUGCUUUUCUACUGAUGUGCUUCUCUCAAAGAAGCUGUGGGUGGAGUCAAGGUUGUCAAAAUCAAGAUCCUACGUAGGAUUGAAAAGGGAGGAAAGACAGAAUUGAAAAUGGAUUGGAGUGGUGAGAAUGAGGUGACCCAAGGCCCCAACUUUUUGGAUGGUGGAGAUUCCCUUUGAGGGGUGGCUGGGGGAGGCCUGCCAUGGUAGAGGUGGCUGAUACUGAGGAUGCUGGUGUUGGCUGAUGAGGGAAACAAUGAUAUCCUCCUCUCAGGGGUAAACUGCCAUUGGUUGAAGGUAAUUGAUGUACAUGAAGGUUGAUCAGUGUCCAGGGUCUCAAUCAUGGUAACCGAUACCAGAUUUGUUAAUUUAUAUCGUUCUUUGGUAAGUUGUUAGUUUGGUGAAUUUUAUGACAUGGAAGUUGAAGGUGUUGAUGGAAGGCGUGAAAUCAGGGGUGAUGGUGAUGAAUGGCAGUGACGAUAAAGAUGGCAUGGCAGGAAUAAGAGUGGAUGGAGUACACAGGUAGCAGAGAGGCAAACAAUAGUUGACACAUUCAAUAAUGAUACUUCGAUAUUUGCAUGCUUGCUUUCUACGAGAGCUGGUGGACAAGGCUUAAAUUUAACGGGAGCUGAUACAGUUGUAAUUCAUGACAUGGAUUUUAAUCCACAGAUUGACAGACAAGCAGAAGAUCGUUGUCAUCGAAUUGGUCAAACAAAGCCUGUAACCAUAUAUCGGCUGGUGACAAGGGGAACAGUUGAUGAAAAUGUGUAUGAGAUUGCAAAGAGAAAGCUAGUAUUAGAUGCUGCUGUUCUCGAGUCCAUGGAGGAGAUUAGUGAAGGUGACAUGCCUGAGAAGACCAUGGGAGAGAUAUUGUCCUCAAUUUUGUUGAGCUAAAUAUUUAGACGAGGGAAACAUAUAGCUUAAUUUAUUGUCAACUGCCCUCUUCUUUUUUCCUCUCUAGGUUUUCACUACUUUCCUAUAGUUCCAAUCUCGAAUUAAUCGGUUGAUUUGGGAGAAAAAUGGACUAACCACCCUACAAAUUGGUAGGAAUGCGGUACUGGAACUGAUGUACAUUAAACUUACCGAUCACGUGUUUAUGACAGUGAAUAAUCAUUGUAGUUAGAAUCAAUAGGAGAAUUAGUAUAAAAGCUCAUGGUAAAAACUAGCAAAUUUAUUGAACAUUGCUUACGAAGCCCUUAUGAAGAAAGCCCUUACCCAGCAUUUUAAAUUUUCAUCUAUAUUUUCCUUCU